CGCGGCCUAUCAGCUUGUUGGUGGGGUAAUGGCCUACCAAGGCGACGACGGGUAGCCGGCCUGAGAGGGUGUCCGGCCACACUGGGACUGAGAUACGGCCCAGACUCCUACGGGAGGCAGCAGUGGGGAAUAUUGCACAAUGGGCGCAAGCCUGAUGCAGCGACGCCGCGUGGGGGAUGACGGCCUUCGGGUUGUAAACCUCUUUCAGUAUCGGCGAAGCUCCAGGAUUUUUCUUGGGGUGACGGUAGGUACAGAAGAAGCACCGGCCAACUACGUGCCAGCAGCCGCGGUAAUACGUAGGGUGCGAGCGUUGUCCGGAAUUGCUGGGCGUAAAGAGCUCGUAGGUGGUUUGUCACGUUGUCCGUGAAAACUCACAGCUUAACUGUGGGCGUGCGGGCGAUACGGGCAGACUGGAGUACUGUAGGGGAGACUGGAAUUCCUGGUGUAGCGGUGGAAUGCGCAGAUAUCAGGAGGAACACCGGUGGCGAAGGCGGGUCUCUGGGCAGUAACUGACGCUGAGGAGCGAAAGCGUGGGGAGCGAACAGGAUUAGAUACCCUGGUAGUCCACGCCGUAAACGGUGGGUACUAGGUGUGGGUUUCCUUCCUUUAGGGAUCCGUGCCGUAGCUAACGCAUUAAGUACCCCGCCUGGGGAGUACGG
rnacentral:rRNA from 1 species